UACUCCUACACUUUUUCUUCCAGGAUCCCAUGCUUCCUGUGGGUGUUCCCACAGCUGCCAAUUCAGACAGCUCGAGUCUGGAAUAGGCUUUGCACAAUCCUGAAGAUGCUAUUCUCUCACUAAGUCAAGUGAUUCCACACAAAAAUAUGGCAGAUGUUUAGCAUCAGGAAUCAAAACAGCAUUUUCGCACCACACAGCACAUUCUUCUCUUCCUGAUACCUUUCAUUUCCUCUCUACAGGAUAUGGAGCAAUUUUCCUCUUUUGCUGCUGUUCAUGUGAACUCAGGAAUCUGUGAACUAUACCAGGACACUUGAAUUCCCAUGUAAUCUUCUCUGAGAGAUCCCUUACAUGAAUCUGCUAGAGGCAGUAGGAGCCACAAAGGACCUUCCUCAGAGGCAGAGAUUGCAGAUGACCCCACACAGAAGAAAGGAUGCAAAGCACAAAGCUUCCCACAUGGCACCACAUGGAGCUUUGGCAGACCUGUGGAGUGGGAAGUUGAGCAGGCAGCCCAGAGGCAUCACAGCCAGAAGAGAAACAGGAGGAGGAUGUGGAAAUAAUUGGAAAUCCCUGGGUUCCAGAAAGUCAGCAGACAACAUGCCAGCACCCUUAAGCUAAGGAGGGACCUGAGAGAGGGCCACAUGAUUAAGAUCAGAGUCAAGAACUCGACUGUCCAGAUCUCAACCACUGGGACCACUGCUGUACACUGAGAUAACCAAAAAAGGUAGAGACUGAAAGAAGACAGUGUAAUUUGAAAUUAAUCAAGAUGUAACAACUCCCUUUUGUAGGCUGUGGUUGGGAAUUCUCAGCUGAGCUGAGUGUGCCAAUGGCUGAAUCACAGUUGCUGGCCUGUUCACUCUCUGACCUAACGCUGUGCUCUUCUCACAGCUGACGAGCUGCUGAUAAAUCCUCUACAGCCUAAAACCUUGGGUUGCCUGAGGUUAACAGAGCACUGACAGUUUGGACCAGUUGAAGAUCUGUCCCUGGGUGUCUGAACCCUACAGGGAGCGUUCUUUUCUAAUGAGCAAGUUGUUCAGGGGAACAGCAGGGACUGUGAUCUGAGGAUACUGGGGUGAGAUCUCUGCCGCAGCCUCAUGGAAAAUGACAGCCAAGACCCAAAUGCUAGUUCCUUUGGUAGCAGUUAACACAUUUCCUGACUGCCGUGUUGUCCAUGUAACUUGAAAAGAAUUUUGAAUGAAUCUGUGGCAGA